ACUUAGUAUGUUGUGUGUGCAUGGGGCGACCAGGGGAAAGGAAAAGGGAGCCAAAACCCUAGAACUCAACAAAUCAUCAAAUUGAAGCCUGAUUCAAGGUCAAAAUCGAUGCAUGAAUACGUAGAAACGAUCACCUAGUCGUGGGGAUCGUAAGUUUGACGCUUGACAAGCUAGGUAGAGGCUUGGAAAGGAAGCGGGUCAAACGAAGUAAGAAUGGCGGAAAAGCAUAAUUCGGAUGCAAGGUAAGUAUAACUUACACUAGUCUUAAAUUGUGGAAUGUUUUCUUAUCAUAUAAAUUAUGAAUGAGGUGUCUAAACAAUUGAAAUAUGAUGUUCCGUCGUGUAAUCGAACGGAACAAGAAAAUCAAAGAUAAAUGGUCAAUUCGGCCAAACGGGUCAAAAGGUGUAGAUAACACCUUUUGACUAUAUAGACUAAUGAUUCUUUUGUCGAGUCAUAAGCUUACAGGAAUAGAUAUCCAAUGGAUAUUCGCACCGUUCUUAAUUAGCGAAUAUAAAGCAAGGUAUUAAGAUCGGGUCUAUUUGUUGACCCGAGUCAGGUACGCUUAUUUAUGAUGUAUGUAAAAAUACUAAUUUGGUCGAAUAAUUGGUGAUAGCCCUUCAUUGUAAAAGAAGGACCAAAAUCGACCAAAAUGCCCUUGUAGGCUAAAUUGAACAAACAACCUUUAAAGGUUGUUUGGAAACGAGUUUUGCGAUAAGAUAAAUACUUAGAAUAAGUAUAGAAGUUGAAGGGGGUAUUGUUUUUAGUCAAACGGCACUAUUGAGUUUUGCCGUAAAAUAUUGAUUUUAGAGGUAAAAUUUGGGUUAUAUAAGAUCACCAUAAUAAACUCACCUUAAAUGCAGUCGAGGUGGGGUAUUAUAGGGUAAGAAAUGUGGUGAUGGAAUACUAGAAGAAAUCGAAAGCGUUUUUAGGCCUGAAAAUGCUUAAAUACCCUUAACGGGUCAAAAUAAACAUCCGAGUAAAAAUUGAUUUAAUUUGAGUAAUUAAACCGGCGAUUAAAAUCUAAUAUGAUAGGCAACAAUAAGUCGAAGAAGUAUAUGUGAUAUAAGGGCCAAAUAAACAUGUUUGAUGGUGAAAUCACAAACGGGUCAAAAUUGGCAAAAAGGGGAAAUAAGCCGAAGACUUAGAAGUCUUAAAAUUUGUUAAGUCGAAUGUCGGAUUUUAACCUCAUAAGAUGGAGGAUUAAAUUACGGACGCGUAGGAAAAGGAAUCGGGUAAAACGGAUCAAUAACGAAGAAGUUAUGGCCGUUUCCGUAAAAACUGGCAUAGCUGAACUAAGCUGCAGACCUGCUGAUGCAGGGGCCACCGUAAAUUACGGUGUCCACCGUAAUUUACGGUGGAGUUGAAAAAUGCUACGGUGGAUCCCUCCUGGUUUACGGUAGGGGCCUGUACUACCAGUGGCCACCGUAAAUUACGGUGCCACCGUAAUUUACGGUGGAGGUCAGGUUGAAAACUUUGUUUUUGUUAUCAAUUGUUUCUCGAACUCGUUUAGACGCGUUUUAAGUCCUGUAUGACUAAAGCAUUUCAUGUUUAUGAAAUGUAGGUACAUUUUGGAUGCCGGAAGACGAUCAAGCAUCAUCGAAGAACCGAACACUAUAAAGAUUCACGCUUCCGCACAUUGUAAAUCGAUAUUUUUAAACGACGAAUUUUGUCACAUUAGGCGGUGUACUUGGAAAUUGUGAAAGUUUUAAUUAACUCGUAUUUUCUAAGGAUACUUAACGUUAA